CGGACGGGUGAGUAACGCGUGAGAAUCUAACUUCAGGACGGGGACAACAGUUGGAAACGACUGCUAAUACCCGAUGUGCCGCAAGGUGAAACCUAAUUGGCCUGAAGAAGAGCUUGCGUCUGAUUAGCUAGUUGGUGGGGUAAAGGCCUACCAAGGCGACGAUCAGUAGCUGGUCUGAGAGGAUGAGCAGCCACACUGGGACUGAGACACGGCCCAGACUCCUACGGGAGGCAGCAGUGGGGAAUUUUCCGCAAUGGGCGAAAGCCUGACGGAGCAACGCCGCGUGAGGGAGGAAGGUCUUUGGAUUGUAAACCUCUUUUCUCAAGGAAGAAGUUCUGACGGUACUUGAGGAAUCAGCCUCGGCUAACUCCGUGCCAGCAGCCGCGGUAAUACGGGGGAGGCAAGCGUUAUCCGGAAUUAUUGGGCGUAAAGCGUCCGCAGGUGGUCAGCCAAGUCUGCCGUCAAAUCAGGUUGCUUAACGACCUAAAGGCGGUGGAAACUGGCAGACUAGAGAUCAGUAGGGGUAGCAGGAAUUCCCAGUGUAGCGGUGAAAUGCGUAGAGAUUGGGAAGAACAUCGGUGGCGAAAGCGUGCUACUGGGCUGUAUCUGACACUCAGGGACGAAAGCUAGGGGA
rnacentral:rRNA from 1 species